rnacentral:rRNA from 1 species
CGUUACCCCACUAAAAAAGCAUAUCAAUAAGCGGAGGAAAAGAAACCAACAGGGAUUGCCCUAGUAACGGCGAGUGAAGCGGCAACAGCUCAAAUUUGAAAUCUGGUCUUCGGGCCCGAGUUGUAAUUUGUAGAGGAAGCUUUUGGCGCGGUACCUUCUGAGUCCCCUGGAACGGGGCGCCAUAGAGGGUGAGAGCCCCGUAUAGUUGGAUACCAAGCCUGUGUAAAGCUCCUUCGACGAGUCGAGUAGUUUGGGAAUGCUGCUCAAAAUGGGAGGUAAAUUUCUUCUAAAGCUAAAUACCGGCCAGAGACCGAUAGCGCACAAGUAGAGUGAUCGAAAGAUGAAAAGCACUUUGAAAAGAGGGUUAAAUAGCACGUGAAAUUGUUGAAAGGGAAGCGCUUGUGACCAGACUUGCGCCGGGCUGAUCAUCCGGUGUUCUCACCGGUGCACUCUGCCCGGCUCAGGCCAGCAUCGGUUCUCGCGGGGGGACAAAGGUCCUGGGAACGUAGCUCCUCCGGGAGUGUUAUAGCCCAGGGCGUAAUGCCCCCGCGGGGACCGAGGUUCGCGCUCUGCAAGGAUGCUGGCGUAAUGGUCACCAGCGACCCGUCUUGAAACAACGGACCA